rnacentral:rRNA from 1 species
AUUGAACGCUGGCGGCAGGCCUAACACAUGCAAGUCGAACGGUAACAGGAAGAAGCUUGCUUCUUUGCUGACGAGUGGCGGACGGGUGAGUAAUGUCUGGGAAACUGCCUGAUGGAGGGGGAUAACUACUGGAAACGGUAGCUAAUACCGCAUAACGUCGCAAGCCCAAAGAGGGGGACCUUCGGGCCUCUUGCCCUCGGAUGUGCCCAGAUGGGAUUAGCUAGUAGGUGGGGUACCGGCUCACCUAGGCGACGAUCCCUAGCUGGUCUGAGAGGAUGACCAGCCACACUGGAACUGAGACACGUUCAAGACUCCUACGGGAGGCAGCAGUGGGGAAUAUUGCACAAUGGGCGCAAGCCUGAUGCAGCCAUGCCGCGUGUAUGAAGAAGGCCUUCGGGUUGUAAAGUACUUUCAGCGGGGAGGAAGGGAGUAAAGUUAAUACCUUUGCUCAUUGACGUUACCCGCAGAAGAAGCACCGGCUAACUCCGUG